rnacentral:rRNA from 1 species
AGUGAACGCUGGCGGUAGGCCUAACACAUGCAAGUCGAACGGCAGCACAGUAAGAGCUUGCUCUUACGGGUGACGAGUGGCGGACGGGUGAGGAAUACAUCGGAAUCUACUUUUUCGUGGGGGAUAACGCAGGGAAACUUACGCUAAUACCGCAUACGACCUACGGGUGAAAGCAGGGGAUCUUCGGACCUUGCGCGAUUGAAUGAGCCGAUGUCGGGUUAGCUAGGUGGCGGGGUAAAGGCCCACCAAGGCGACGAUCCGUAGCUGGUCUGAGAGGAUGAUCAGCCACACUGGAACUGAGACACGGUCCAGACUCCUACGGGAGGCAGCAGUGGGGAAUAUUGGACAAUGGGCGCAAGCCUGAUCCAGCCAUGCCGCGUGUGUGAAGAAGGCCUUCGGGUCGUAAAGCCCUUUUGUUGGGAAAGAAAAGCAGCAGGUUAAUACCCCGCUGUUCUGACGGUACCCAAAGAAUAAGCACCGGCUAACUUCGUG